rnacentral:rRNA from 1 species
AACGAACGCUGGCGGCGCGCUUAACACAUGCAAGUCGAACGAGAAGGCGUAGCAAUACGCUUGUACAGUGGCGAACGGGUGAGGAAUACAUGGGUAACCUACCCUCGAGUGGGGGAUAACCCGCCGAAAGGCGGGCUAAUACCGCGUACGCUUCCGAUCUUGCGGGAUUGGAAGGAAAGCUGUCCCUUGGGGAUGGCGCUCAAGGAUGGGCUCAUGUCCUAUCAGCUUGUUGGUAGGGUAACGGCCUACCAAGGCAUCGACGGGUAGCUGGUCUGAGAGGACGAUCAGCCACACUGGCACUGCGACACGGGCCAGACUCCUACGGGAGGCAGCAGUGAGGAAUAUUGCGCAAUGGGCGAAAGCCUGACGCAGCGACGCCGCGUGGGGGA